rnacentral:rRNA from 1 species
UAGGGAAUCUUCCACAAUGGACGCAAGUCUGAUGGAGCAACGCCGCGUGAGUGAAGAAGGGUUUCGGCUCGUAAAGCUCUGUUGUUAAAGAAGAACGUGGGUAAGAGUAACUGUUUACCCAGUGACGGUAUUUAACCAGAAAGCCACGGCUAACUACGUUCCAG